rnacentral:sRNA from 1 species
AAUGCCCUGGUCUUUUUAACAGGCCUGCCGUCAUCCGCAGAAUGAUCCGCACUAAGCGCGUGCAUGAGCGUGGGGGUUAUCAUCGUAUAGGAUGAGACAGAUUUUGCAACACCCCUCGCCGCGCAUGCAUGAAAAGUGGAUUGGAAGGUUCUGUUUCUUGCCUACGCAGAAGUCGGCAAGUACUAAUUGCAUUUUAAUAAUCAUCCCUUAAAUGGUGCUGAAGAAGCCGUUGCAUUGCUGGAGACAGCGGGUAAGCUCAUCGAGAUUGCAGGCUCGCUGAGACCAAUGACUUGCUGCUGCAGAUGAGAGUCAGACAAGGUCAUUGGUGGUCAACUGAAACAUUGAUAUCAUCGCCUUUAACUCGGAUACAAACGGUGUGGGGGGAAGCAGAGAAAAAAUGAUCGCUCUGCUGUACGCGAACAUCUCGGAGGCAGAUGGAAGAGAACAGGCUGAUGCACAUUUCGAGUCUCUCUAGAUAAUUAACUAGAAAACAAACACUAUUCAAACUCUUUACAAAUAUCUUUUUGAGACUUUUUCUUGGCCAUUCAUUCUCUUACUAUUUUAUAGUAAGAAACUGCUACGAAUAUACUCACUUUCAGGGAUACCGAAAAUCCAUAUAGGCUUCGUAAAUGAUAUCAAUAUCGAUCUAUAGUAUCUUGCUGAAGGAGGGAGUUAUUUCAUACAGGGAAUGUUGCGAAAUUCGUCCAUUUUGCUGACUACUGUGCUUGACAAAAAGGGAUGUCUCUGUAAGAGGGUUGAACCUUGGUUGAUCUAUCUAUGUGUGGGUCACGUGGGAUAGGGCUUGUGUACACAGGCUAAUCUUAUCUCAGCGAGCUCAGACCCUCUAUUGGCUCGGUUGCAGCAGCAUGACACUAAACUACUUUAGUUACAAGUCAUGUGCUCAGGGCAAUCCUUGCCAGAGGAUCUGAGAAGGAACGGUUCAUGCUCCUGUGGAGAUUAUUGAGAUUUUCAUAGAUUCUUCAAAUUUCUCAACUUUGACUUUCAAUUACACAAUAGUCAUAUAUCUUUGAGAUUUGUGAACCACCUUAGGUUGUAGCUAAAGAGAAGA